UUUUUGUUUUUUUGUUUUUUCAUUCCUGAUUUUCCUCUUAAGCACGUGCCGAAACAUAUAAAAUCAGUCAACUUCCUGCUAAUCCACAUCAGGUAGAAGCAGUCAAAUCAAAUCAGAGAGGGACUUUAAAGGAUCGGUACUAUCCGUGUUCCUGCUGAACAUCCAGAAGAACUGAAGAGCUCAUUGAGGAGGCGGUGGGUUUCAAAAUCACCAACAACACAAAUACCUGUACCUGUACAGUGAGUAUAAGCUGAUAACUUCAGAUAGAAGUGCUGGUAAAAAUCAGUCAAACUUCCUUCUUACCCACAGCAGGUGCAAGAACAGCUUAGAAGAACAAAGAAGGACUCCUACAUACUCGUUUUAUCUCCGACUUCAUCAUGAGAUUAUUUGUGGUUUCACAGCUUCUGCUGGUGUUCAUAUCAGUCCUGG